AGGAGAAAGCGACACCCGCAGAGAAAACUGCAGGUUUUUAGUUGGGAGCUCACUCCUUCAAGUCAGCGGCUUCCACCGAUCAACUUCCACAUGCACUGACAAACCUCUUCUACCCUUGCAAUGAACAUGAAUCUGUUCGAAACGAACAAUGCUAAGAAGCGGGCAAUGUUUUAAUUAUUUUCUGCAAUGAUUUUAGUGGUGCGAAGUAAAUAACGCGGGACAUAGAGAAACUGGAAAUACUGAUACUGUGCAUAUUGAAGUUAGAUUUGUCUAUAUGUUUAGUCUGAUAUUAAAGCUGU